rnacentral:rRNA from 1 species
GACGAACGCUGGCGGCGUGCCUAACACAUGCAAGUCGAGCGAGUGAAUUUCCUUCGGGAGUGAAGCUAGCGGCGGACGGGUGAGUAACACGUGGGCAACCUGCCUCAUAGAGGGGAAUAGCCUUUCGAAAGGACGAUUAAUACCGCAUAAGAUUGUAGCUUCGCAUGAAGUAGCAAUUAAAGGAGCAAUCCGCUAUGAGAUGGGCCCGCGGCGCAUUAGCUAGUUGGUGAGGUAACGGCUCACCAAGGCGACGAUGCGUAGCCGACCUGAGAGGGUGAUCGGCCACAUUGGGACUGAGACACGGCCCAGACUCCUACGGGAGGCAGCAGUGGGGAAUAUUGCACAAUGGGGGAAACCCUGAUGCAGCAACGCCGCGUGAGUGAUGACGGCCUUCGGGUUGUAAAGCUCUGUCUUCAGGGACGAUAAUGACGGUUCCUGAGGAGGAAGCCACGGCUAACUACGUGCCAGCAGCCGCAGUAA